UAGGGAAUCUUCCGCAAUGGGCGAAAGCCUGACGGAGCAACGCCGCUUGUGUGAUGAAGGUCUUCGGAUCGUAAAACUCUGUUAUUAUGUAAGAACAAAUGUGUAAGUAACUAUGCACAUCUUGACGGUACCUAAUCAGUAAGCCACGGCUAACUACGUUCCAGCAGCUGCUGUAAUACGUAGGUGGCAAGCGUUAUCCGGAAUUAUUGGGCGUAAAGCGAGCGCAGGCGGUCAAUUAAGUAUGAUGUGAAAGCCCCCGGCUCCACCGGGGAGGGUCAUUAGAAACUGGUUGACUUGAGUGCAGAUGUGGAGAGUCGAAUUCCAUGUGUAGCAGUGAAAUGCGUAGAUAUAUGGAGGAACUCCGGUGGCGAAAGCGGCUCUCUGGUCUGUAUCUAACGCUGAGGCUCCAAUGCAUCGGGAGCGAACAGG
rnacentral:rRNA from 1 species